CGGGAUCACCAGGGGCGGCCGAGUCUUCUUCACCAACGAGGAGGCCAAGAGCACCACCUGGCUGCGCGCGUCACCGGCGAGGCCGUGGCCACCGGACACCGGCGGCAGAGCACAGAUUUGCCCACUGGCUGGGAAGAAGCAUGUACCUUUGAAGGUGCGAGAUACUAUAUAAACCAUAAUGAAAGGAAAGUGACCUGCUAACAUCCAGUCACGGGACAACCAUCACAGGACAACUGCAUUUUUGUGGUGAAUGAACAGACUGUUGCAACCAUGACAUCUGAAGAAAAGAAGGAACGACCUAUGAGUAUGAUAAAUGAAGCUUCUCACUAUAAUGUGACUUCAGAUUACGCAGUGCGUCCAAUGAGCCCUGUAGGCAGAACUUCAAGAGCUUCAGAAAAAGUUCAUAAUUUUGGAAAGAGGUCAAAUUCAAUUAAAAAGAAUCCUAAUGCACCAGUGGUCAGACGAGGUUGGCUUUAUAAACAGGACAGUACUGGCAUGAAAUUGUGGAGGAAACGCUGGUUUGUGCUUUCUGACCUUUGCCUCUUUUGUUAUAGAGCUGAGGAAGAAGAGGGUAUCCUGGGAAGCAUACUGUUACCUAGUUUUCAGAUAGCUUUGCUUACCCUUGAAGAUCACAUUGAUCGCAAAUACGCUUUUAAGGCAGCCCAUCGAAACAUGCGGACCUAUUAUUUCUGCACUGACACAGGAAAGGAAAUGGAGUUGUGGAUGAAAGCCAUGUUAGAUGCUGCCCUAGUAUAGACAGAACCUGUGAAAAGAGUGGACAAGAUUACAUCUGAAAAUGCACCAACUAAAGAAACCAAUAACAUUCCCAACCAUAGAGUGCUAAUUAAACCAGAGAUCCAAAACAAUCAAAAAAACAAGGAAAUGAGCAAAAUUGAAGAAAAAAAGGCAUUAGAAGCUGAAAAAUACGGAUUUCAGAAGGAUAGUCAAGAUAGACCCUUAACAAAAAUUAAUAGUGUAAAGUUGAAUUCUCUGCCUUCUGAGUAUGAGAGUGGGUCAGCCUGCCCUGCUCAAACUGCACACCACAGACCAGUCAAUUUAAACAGUUCUGAGAACAAAAUAGUCAAUGUUAGCCUGGCAGAUCUUAGAGGUGGAAAUCACUCCAAUACAGGGCCCUUAUACACAGAGGCUGAUCGAGUCAUACAGAGAACAAAUUCAAUGCAGCAAUUGGAACAGUGGAUUAAAAUCCAGAAGCGGAGGAGUCAUGAAGAAGAAACCAGAAGAGUAAUUUCUUACCAAACAUUACCAAGAAAUAUGCCAAGCCACAGGGCCCAGAUUAUGGCCCGCUACCCUGAAGGUUGUAGAACACUCCCAAGAAACAGCAAGACAGGGCCUGAAAGUACCUGCAGUGUAACCCCUUCUACUCAUGACAAGACCUUAGGACCUGGAGCGGAAGGGAAACGGAGGUCCAUGAGAGAUGACACAAUGUGGCAGGUCUACAAGUGGCAGCAGUGUCCGUGUUAUAACAAACAGAGCACCCUCCCUCGACACAGUUCUUUGAGUAAUCCCAAAACCAUGGUUCAUACUUCUGACCAGACAAUGCACUCUGUUCCCACAUCACCUUCCCACGGGUCAAUAGCUGCUUAUCAGGGAUACUCCCCGCAACGAACUUACAGACCGGAAGUAUCUUCACCAGUUCAGGGAGGAGAUGUGACAAUAGACCACAGACACAGUGCCCACCACCCUAAGCAUGUCUAUGUGCCUGACAGAAGGUCAGUGCCAGCUGGACUGACUUUACAGUCUGUUAGUCCCCAGAGCCCCCAAGGGAAAACACUAUGACAAGAUGAAGGUAGAGGCACAUUAUACAAAUACAGACCUGAAGAAGUAGAUAUUGAUGCCAAGUUAAGCCGAUUAUGUGAGCAAGAUAAAAUGGUGCAUGCUCUGGAAGAGAAACUUCAGCGGCUCCACAAGGAGAAAUACACAUUUGAGCAAGCUUUGCUAUCAGCCAGCCAAGAGAUAGAAAUGCAUGCAGAUAACCCAGCAGCCAUUCAGAUGGUGGUGUUACAAAGGGACGAUCUAAGAACGGACAGACCAAGAAGUGCAGUGGAGCAGCUCUGUCUGCUGAAACUACUCGACCUAGGAUGACUGUGGAAGAGCGGAUGGAAAGAAUGAGAAGACAGCAAGAAGCGUGCCUGAGGGAAAAGAAAAAAGGAUUAAAUGUUAUCGGUGCUUCAGACCCAUCACCCUUACAAAGCCCUUCAAAUUUAACGGAUAAUCCAUUUAGGACUUCUCAGAUUCAAAGGAGGGAUGAUAACAUUAAGGAACUGGACACUGUCAUUAGAGAAAAUGAUGUAAAGCCAGACCGUGAAACUCCUGCAGCAGAAAUUGUUCAACUAAAAGAAGAUGAACCCCAAAAUGUGGACUUUGGCAAAGAGUUAAAAAAAAAACUGAAAAUAUUUCGUAUCAAAUGCUUUUUGAACCUGAGCCAAAUGGAGUAAAUUCUGUGGAAAUGACAGAUAAAGAAAGAAACAAAGAAAAAAAUGCCUUAGGAUGUUAUGUACAGCCCUCAGGAUGAAACACAAAUCACAAAUUACAAACCAGAAGACCAUCUUGAAGAAAAUGCAAAGAACAAUGCUGACGAACAGGAAGAAACUGUUAUUUCUUACGAAUCAACGCCUAAGGCUUCUAGAGGAAAUCAAACAAUGAAAGUGAAAAGUCUUUCCCCAUCUCCUGAGUCCUCAGCAUCGCCUGUUCCAUCCAUUCAGCCACAGCUCACAUUUCAUGUGUGUGUAGUCUCAGAAGAACUAUAUUGACUUCUGUUGAAACCAUUCAAAGCUAAAGACGUGGACCUUCAGCAGUGUAAGAAGAUAUCGU